GAUGAACGCUGGCGGCGUGCCUAAUACAUGCAAGUCGAGCGAACAGAUAAGGAGCUUGCUCCUUUGAAGUUAGCGGCGGACGGGUGAGUAACACGUGGGUAACCUACCUAUAAGACUGGGAUAACUUCGGGAAACCGGAGCUAAUACCGGAUAACAUUUAGAACCGCAUGGUUCUAAAGUGAAAGAUGGUUUUGCUAUCACUUAUAGAUGGACCCGCGCCGUAUUAGCUAGUUGGUAAGGUAACGGCUUACCAAGGCGACGAUACGUAGCCGACCUGAGAGGGUGAUCGGCCACACUGGAACUGAGACACGGUCCAGACUCCUACGGGAGGCAGCAGUAGGGAAUCUUCCGCAAUGGGCGAAAGCCUGACGGAGCAACGCCGCGUGAGUGAUGAAUGGUUUCGGCUCGUAAAACUCUGUUAUUAGGGAAGAACAAAUGUGUAAGUAACUGUGCACAUCUUGACCGUACCUCAAUCAGAAAGCCACGGCUAACCUACGUGCCAGCAGCCGCGGUAAUACGUAUGUGGCAAGCGUUAUCCGGAAUUAUUGGGCGUAAAGCGCGCGUAGGCGGUUUCUUAAGUCUGAUGUGAAAGCCCACGGCUCAACCGUGGAGGGUCAUUGGAAACUGGGAAACUUGAGUGCAGAAGAGGAAAGUGGAAUUCCAUGUGUAGCGGUGAAAUGCGCAGAGAUAUGGAGGAACACCAGUGGCGAAGGCGACUUUCUGGUCUGUAACUGACGCUGAUGUGCGAAAGCGUGGGGAUCAAACAGGAUUAGAUACCCUGGUAGUCCACGCCGUAAACGAUGAGUGCUAAGUGUUAGGGGGUUUCCGCCCCUUAGUGCUGCAGCUAACGCAUUAAGCACUCCGCCUGGGGGGUACGACCGCAAGGUUGAAACUCAAAGGAAUUGACGGGGACCCGCACAAGCGGUGGAGCAUGUGGUUUAAUUCGAAGCAACGCGAAGAACCUUACCAAAUCUUGACAUCCUUUGAAAACUCUAGAGAUAGAGCCUUCCCCUUCGGGGGACAAAGUGACAGGUGGUGCAUGGUUGUCGUCAGCUCGUGUCGUGAGAUGUUGGGUUAAGUCCCGCAACGAGCGCAACCCUUAAGCUUAGUUGCCAUCAUUAAGUUGGGCACUCUAGGUUGACUGCCGGUGACAAACCGGAGGAAGGUGGGGAUGACGUCAAAUCAUCAUGCCCCUUAUGAUUUGGGCUACACACGUGCUACAAUGGACAAUACAAAGGGCAGCUAAACCGCGAGGUCAUGCAAAUCCCAUAAAGUUGUUCUCAGUUCGGAUUGUAGUCUGCAACUCGACUACAUGAAGCUGGAAUCGCUAGUAAUCGUAGAUCAGCAUGCUACGGUGAAUACGUUCCCGGGUCU
rnacentral:rRNA from 1 species